rnacentral:ncRNA from 1 species
UGAGGCUAAGGGUAGCCAGGUGCCCUGUUUUGGAUGGGGGAAGGGGUGGAGUGAGCAGCCCCAGGGGCCCACUGUGUGGGGGAAGGGUUGCCAGGCACCGAGGCUCAUCUCUGCCACUGUCCUCUGGGAGCUCAGGCCUUUGGGGAGUUGUCAUCCCCAAGCCAGCAGCCAGCCUGGGCAGGCUCCCAUUC